GAAUUAGGGAUGAGCCGAUACCAGAAAAAAGCCGAUUCACCGAUCCGAUAUAUCGGAGCCGAUAUAAAAAAAUAAUCGGCCGAUUAAUCGGCUAUGGCCGAUAUUUCUGUGUACCGGGGUACAAGCGCCGGAUAACGGUUUUUUGACAACUUUUAAUACUUGUGUAUACGCCACAAAUUGACGUACUAGUUUUAGUGUGUUCCGGAAAAUAUUUACUCAUAUUGGACAGUUAUCCGUCACUGUACGAGUCAAAUGAAUUAAUGGAUAUGGGAUUAAAUACGCGCAACAAAAGUGUCAAAAACAAGACGGAGUGUAGAUUACUAGAUUAUAGAGUUAUUUUUCUUAAAAAA
rnacentral:lncRNA from 1 species